rnacentral:rRNA from 3 species
CCGCCUGGGGAGUACGGCCGCAAGGUUAAAACUCAAAUGAAUUGACGGGGGCCCGCACAAGCGGUGGAGCAUGUGGUUUAAUUCGAUGCAACGCGAAGAACCUUACCUGGUCUUGACAUCCACAGAACUUUCCAGAGAUGGAUUGGUGCCUUCGGGAACUGUGAGACAGGUGCUGCAUGGCUGUCGUCAGCUCGUGUUGUGAAAUGUUGGGUUAAGUCCCGCAACGAGCGCAACCCUUAUCCUUUGUUGCCAGCGGUCCGGCCGGGAACUCA